rnacentral:rRNA from 1 species
CAGCCGCCGCGGGAAUACGUAGGUCCCGAGCGUUGUCCGGAUUUAUUGGGCGUAAAGCGAGCGCAGGCGGUUAGAUAAGUCUGAAGUUAAAGGCUGUGGCUUAACCAUAGUACGCUUUGGAAACUGUUUAACUUGAGUGCAAGAGGGGAGAGUGGAAUUCCAUGUGUAGCGGUGAAAUGCGUAGAUAUAUGGAGGAACACCGGUGGCGAAGGCGGCUCUCUGGCUUGUAACUGACGCUGAGGCUCGAAAGCGUGGGGAGCAAACAGGAUUAGAUACCCGCGUAGUCCCUGUCUCUUAUACA